rnacentral:rRNA from 1 species
ACGGAGGGUGCGAGCGUUGUCCGGAAUCACUGGGCGUAAAGGGCGCGUAGGCGGCGCGAGCAGUCGGCGGUGAAAGCCCGGGGCUCAACUCCGGGUCGGCCGUGCGAACUGGGGGAUUGGAGCUUGUCAGAGGCAGGCGGAAUUCCGGGUGUAGCGGUGGAAUGCGUAGAGAUCCGGAAGAACACCGGUGGCGAAGGCGGCCUGCUGGGACAGUGCUGACGCUGAGGCGCGACAGCGUGGGGAGCAAACAGGA